ACAAAUUCAUCCAACUUACACCAAGAACUUAACAUAAAUUAACUCAUCUAUUAGAACCAAAAAGAAAAUAUGAUAGGAUUUCUUGGGUUCUCACCUCCAAACUCCUUCAAAGUUGUUCAUCAAUCUGCCACUUCACUACUACGCUCUUAAAUCAACUUCAUCACCACGAAUCCUUAACAAGAACCCUGAAAUUACGAGUUAAACACUUCAAUCUCAAACUUGUUCGAAAAUGAAACUUGGAAUUCGAAAGAUCCACUUACAAAUCCUGGAAGUGCAUGAUGAGAGGAGUAUUUUUCUCUCUUUGGUCAAGACCCAUCUCGGGCGAGGUUGGCCAGAAUCGGCGAAAAACCCAUGAAAACUGUCGAAACUUCUAGGCUUCAAUAUAUGAGCACGCUUGGUUCUAGCAUAUGGUUUUGGUAUCAAAUUGAAUAGGGCUUCACUAUGAUGAACACAUAGCCUUCGACCAUUCGUGAUUUCGUUGCCGUAUGAGAAAGUUAUCAUUUUUGGAGUGAAGAAGAAGAAUUAAGGGGGAGAAGAACAAAAUAGCCUCCCUGCUACAUCUGCUAGCCGGGGAAAGAAAAAAGAAGAUAAGCCUUUGGCUUCUAGAAUACUCCCUCCCAAAAUUACCAUUUUGCCCUCCAACUUUAAAAAUUCUUAACUACUCGUUCUAACUCUGAAUUCACAUCCGUUUGUGACCACGCGUUCAUUACGAUAAUUAUUAUUUAAAUAAAAUAAAUAUUUCUCACCAAGUGUCUUGAACUUGAAGGUCCCACAAAAGAUGAAAUUACCCACCAUCUUGUUUUCCAACGAGUUCCACAUAAUCAUACAAAAAUGAAUAACCAAAUCAUACAUCUAAAAAUACAUAGGGUAUUACAAUUUUUCAUAAAGAAAUAGUGCAUGAAGUUAACUUUGGAGGGAAAAUUACAUGUUAGAUUCGCAACUUAUAUGAAAUGUUAACGGCUUAUAGGCAAGAAAAUGAAGGUAUAACACUCUAAAAUAAAGUGUUUCAAGUGACUUAAGUUGACGAAAAAAUGAAUAAAAUAGUUUUAAAUAUAAUAGUAGGGAUGAAAUUAACAAUUUUUAAUGAAUUUAAGAAUUUAUUUUACUGAAAAAUAAUUAAAAGAGCCAAUGUUAUUGAGAUGAUACUUUGAAAACUAAAUCGGUAUUUCAUUCAAAAAAAAAUUGUAGGCGAAGUUAGCCUUGGAUGAUGGUAAGUUAUAUGGCACAAGUGUGCUGCUAUGUUUGUUUACUCGUACGUCUUAUUUUUUCCCUUAUCUUAUAACUCAAACAUAAAGGACUAUUAAUAUUAAUAUAAGGUGAACGAUAUCAGAGGACAAGUGGGUAGGCAGUCUGACAGAGUUAGGAGCAAUUAAGUAUGAACGGUCAGAUCACCAAAAUAUAUGAACAAACACAUCAAGAAAAAUGUUGUAAAGUGGGCCGAAUGUGUGUUUAAUAUUGCAUUAAUUUACUAAUUUGUUAGCGUUUAAGAGUUUAUAUAUAUAUA
rnacentral:lncRNA from 1 species